rnacentral:ncRNA from 1 species
CAAAGGUUUGGUCCUGACCUUGAGAUCAACUCUUUCUUAACUUACACAUGCAAGUCUCAGCACCCCUGUGAGAACGCCCUUUAACUCCUCCAAGGGGUAAGGAGCCGGUAUCAGGCACAUUUUUAGCCCAAGACACCUAGCUAUGCCACACCCUCAAGGGAAUUCAGCAGUGAUUAACAUUAAACAUAAGCGACAGCUUGAUUCAGUUAAAGAAAAGAGAGCCGGCAAAUCUGGUGCCAGCCGCCGCGGUUACACCACGUGGCUCAAGUUGACCUUGCUCGGCGUAAAGCGUGAUUUAAGAGACCUGCCUAUGGUGUCAAAAAGGAGUUAAGCUGUGACACGCUUGCCCCUGAGAAGACCUAAAACGAAAGUUACACCAAUUGCACUAACUUGAACCCACGACAGCUUGGAAACAAACUGGGAUUAGAUACCCCACUAUGCCUAGCCGUAAACUUUAACUUACACCUCAAUCGCCAGGGAACUACGAGCAAAGCUUAAAACCCAAAGGACUUGACGGUACCCCAAAUCCACCUAGAGGAGCCUGUCCUGUAAUCGAUAACCCCCGCUUAACCUCACCUCUUAUCGUCCAUCAGCCUGUAUACCUCCGUCGUCAGCUUACCACGUGAGCGCCACUGAGUGAGCCUAAUGCCCAUACGCCAAUACGUCAGGUCAAGGUGCAGCUAAUGAAGAGGGAAGAGAUGGGCUACACUCUCUACCUUAGAGAAAACAAAAGACUAUUUAUGAAACCUAGUCGGAAGGAGGAUUUAGUAGUAAAAAGAAAACAGAGUGUUCUUUUUAACUCGGCACUGGGAUGUGUACACACCG